AUUGAACGCUGGCGGCAUGCCUAACACAUGCAAGUCGAACGAGUGGCGGACGGGUGAGUAGUGUCUGGGAAACUGCCUGAUGGAGGGGUAUAACUGCUGGAAACGGUAGCUAAUACCGCAUACCAUCAGAUGUGCCCAGAUGGGAUUAGCUGGGGGGGGUGGUAACGGCUCACCAAGGCGACGAUCCCUAGCUGGUCUGAGAGGAUGACCAGCCACACUGGAACUGAGACACGGUCCAGACUCCUACGGGAGGCAGCAGUGGGGAAUAUUGCACAAUGGGCGAAAGCCUGAGGCAGCAAUGCCGCGUGUAUGAAGAAGGCCUUCGGGUUGUAAAGUACUGUCAGCGGGGAGGCGGUACCCGCAGAAGAAGCACCGGCUAACUCCGUGCCAGCCGCCGCGGUAAUUC
rnacentral:rRNA from 1 species